GGGAUAACAUUUGGAAACAGAUGCUAAUACCGCAUAAAUCCAAGAACCGCAUGGUUCUUGGCUGAAAGAUGGCGUAAGCUAUCGCUUUUGGAUGGACCCGCGGCGUAUUAGCUAGUUGGUGAGGUAACGGCUCACCAAGGCAAUGAUACGUAGCCGAACUGAGAGGUUGAUCGGCCACAUUGGGACUGAGACACGGCCCAAACUCCUACGGGAGGCAGCAGUAGGGAAUCUUCCACAAUGGACGCAAGUCUGAUGGAGCAACGCCGCGUGAGUGAAGAAGGCUUUCGGGUCGUAAAACUCUGUUGUUGGAGAAGAAUGGUCGGCAGAGUAACUGUUGUCGGCGUGACGGUAUCCAACCAGAAAGCCACGGCUAACUACGUGCCAGCAGCCGCGGUAAUACGUAGGUGGCAAGCGUUAUCCGGAUUUAUUGGGCGUAAAGCGAGCGCAGGCGGUUUUUUAAGUCUGAUGUGAAAGCCCUCGGCUUAACCGAGGAAGUGCAUCGGAAACUGGGAAACUUGAGUGCAGAAGAGGACAGUGGAACUCCAUGUGUAGCGGUGAAAUGCGUAGAUAUAUGGAAGAACACCAGUGGCGAAGGCGGCUGUCUGGUCUGUAACUGACGCUGAGGCUCGAAAGCAUGGGUAGCGAACAGGAUUAGAUACCCUGGUAGUCCAUGCCGUAAACGAUGAAUGCUAGGUGUUGGAGGGUUUCCGCCCUUCAGUGCCGCAGCUAACGCAUUAAGCAUUCCGCCUGGGGAGUACGACCGCAAGGUUGAAACUCAAAGGAAUUGACGGGGGCCCGCACAAGCGGUGGAGCAUGUGGUUUAAUUCGAAGCAACGCGAAGAACCUUACCAGGUCUUGACAUCUUUUGAUCACCUGAGAGAUCAGGUUUCCCCUUCGGGGGCAAAAUGACAGGUGGUGCAUGGUUGUCUUCAGCUCGUGUCGUGAGAUGUUGGGUUAAGUCCCGCAACGAGCGCAACCCUUAUGACUAGUUGCCAGCAUUUAGUUGGGCACUCUAGUAAGACUGCCGGUGACAAACCGGAGGAAGGUGGGGAUGACGUCAAAUCAUCAUGCCCCUUAUGACCUGGGCUACACACGUGCUACAAUGGAUGGUACAACGAGUUGCGAGACCGCGAGGUCAAGCUAAUCUCUUAAAGCCAUUCUCAGUUCGGACUGUAGGCUGCAACUCGCCUACACGAAGUCGGAAUCGCUAGUAAUCGCGGAUCAGCACGCCGCGGUGAAUACGUUCCCGGGCCUUGUACACACCGCCCGUCACACCAUGAGAGUUUGUAACACCCGAAGCCGGUGGCGUAACCCUUUUAGGGAGCGAGCCGUCUAAGG
rnacentral:rRNA from 1 species